UCAGAUAGGACAUUCUUUGUUUGAGUUAAUACUCCUGGAUCAGAGGAUUUGCUCACCACUAGGACACCGCCUCCUGGAUGCGCUGGGGACUAGCUCCAUUCAGGUAGCCAGCACUCAACCCUGAAAAUCUCUCUGACUACCAUCUCAGCUUGAAGCUCCCAUUCCUGGGUAAAAUAAUUGCGAUAGUAGUAACAAGCAAGCUCCAGCAAUAUUUUGCAUCAGUCAACAUCUUGGAUGCCUCACAAUCAGGUUCCAGCCUGGGCACAGCACAGAGAUGGCUCUAGUGGCACUAAAAGAUGUCUUCUUCAUGACCAUAGACACAGACCCAUUCUAGGAGCAGGGAAUGUCCACACUCUUAUGGAUGGAGGUAAUGCAUGAAGGCCUCAGAGAAGAACACCUCUUGUCUCCAGAGAACUCACCCACUACAGUACUGAUAUUGCCUCACUGAGUGAGACCAGACUGGCUGGAGAAGUUUCCAUCAGUGAGCUAGGAGGUGGCUAUACUUCCUUUUGGAAAGGAAAAACAGAGGAUGAAGACAGGAUCCAUGGAGUUGGAUUUGCAAUUAGAAUGUCUUUCCUGAAACAACUUCCUGACCUCACUGUUGUCCUGAAUGAAUGGCUCAUGAAACGUCGAUUCCCUCUGAAUCCUUUACGGCAUGUCACUGUCAUCAGUGUCUAUGUGCCUACACUGACCAGCACAGAGGAAAGCAAGGAGCAGUUCUGCUCUGAUCUGGACUCCAACC